GACGAACGCUGGCGGCGUGCUUAACACAUGCAAGUCGAACGGAAAGGCCCUGCUUUUGUGGGGUGCUCGAGUGGCGAACGGGUGAGUAACACGUGAGUAACCUGCCCUUGACUUUGGGAUAACUUUAGGAAACUGGGGCUAAUACCGGAUAGGAGCUCCUGCUGCAUGGUGGGGGGUGGAAAGUUUCGGCGGUUGGGGAUGGACUCGCGGCUUAUCAGCUUGUUGGUGGGGGAGUGGCUUACCAAGGCUUUGACGGGUAGCCGGCCUGAGAGGGUGACCGGCCACAUUGGGACUGAGAUACGGCCCAGACUCCUACGGGAGGCAGCAGUGGGGAAUAUUGCACAAUGGGCGGAAGCCUGAUGCAGCAACGCCGCGUGCGGGAUGACGGCCUUCGGGUUGUAAACCGCUUUCGCCUGUGACGAAGCGUGAGUGACGGUAAUGGGUAAAGAAGCACCGGCUAACUACGUG
rnacentral:rRNA from 1 species